UUGGUAGAAACCCUUAAACAUCUGAUUUUGAAUGUUAUAAGAAUUCACACAGAAAUUCACAGUGUAUAUUGUAUCAUUCUGGAAACACCUGAUUUUCUUACACAGUUGUGAUUUCAAAAUUCAAUGGUUGCAUUUCUAGCUGAAACUGGUUCAUUAUCAAUGAUAAUCAUUUAAUAAUGAAACAUAAUCUUUACAUAUUCACAUUAUUUUUCAGGACAACUACAGAGUCAAGUAAUCUUAGGACAAGCUUCAUCCACACAACAUUUACUGCCUACAAUAAUACAGCAAGACUGUUCAGAGCCAUAUGUGAGCAACUUUAUUUUAGAAAAAGCAUCAACUUCAACAACAUUCCAACCUGUGGCUGCAGAUGCAUCUCAACAAUUUACUUCAGCAAGGUGCUUGAUGCUGGAACAUAAUUAUAGUUUUAUUAGCAAGCCUAAAGGAACAGCUGGAAAAGAUCUAAUGGCUCCACAGUGCACAAAGAUCAAUCAAUAUCGCGCUUGCGAAAAAAGGACAAUCUUUCGAAGCAGGGUUAAAAGGUGUUGCAGAUCGAUCAAUCGAAUUUUGUCCGGAUAAUUAACAUACGUGGGUGAAGACGAAACAAAAACAG